rnacentral:rRNA from 1 species
AUGGAAGGAGAAGGUUUCCAGAUUGGAUCCAUGGAGAUGAGGGAGGAUGCGGGCGCCAUGGAGAAGACUUGCAGCAAGGUGAAGGGCGCCAUGGAGGAGAAGAUGGGCGCCAUGAAGGAUCAGAUCGUGAAGGCAAGGAAGAGAGGCAUGGACGAGGAGGACGUCCAGCAGCAGAUGGGCGCCAUGGAGAAGAAGAUGGGCGCCAUGGAGGAGGAGUUUGUCCAGCAGCAGAUGGGCGCCAUGGAGGCCUCGUGCCCGAUUGCUCCCGCCACCACGACUGGAUCCUGCCUCACCGGUACAACCGCCGCGAGGCCUACGGGACAGCCCAACGCGGCGCACGGGGACGACUGGCUCGCUUCCUGCCGUGCCUAUCGUAAAGCUUGGCAUGGUUCGUCCAAGGAGGCCGGACGGUGGCAUGUCCGACGCUGCAUCGCCGAUGCUUGGAGUAUAAACGGCGCGAGGACGACGAACUAG